AUUGAACGCUGGCGGAAUGCUUUACACAUGCAAGUCGAACGGUAGAGGGGGCAACCCCUCGAGAGUGGCGAACGGGUGAGUAAUAUAUCGGAACGUGCCCAGUCGUGGGGGAUAACGUAGCGAAAGUUACGCUAAUACCGCAUACGAUCUAAGGAUGAAAGGGGGGGAUCGCAAGACCUCGCGCGAUUGGAGCGGCCGAUAUCAGAUUAGGUAGUUGGUGGGGUAAAGGCUCACCAAGCCAACGAUCUGUAGCUGGUCUGAGAGGACGAGCAGCCACACUGGAACUGAGACACGGUCCAGACUCCUACGGGAGGCAGCAGUGGGGAAUUUUGGACAAUGGACGCAAGUCUGAUCCAGCCAUUCCGCGUGCAGGAUGAAGGCCCUCGGGUUGUAAACUGCUUUUGUACGGAACGAAAAGGUCUCUCUUAAUACGGGGGACUCAUGACGGUACCGUAAGAAUAAGCACCGGCUAACUACGUGCCAGCAGCCGCGGUAA
rnacentral:rRNA from 1 species